rnacentral:rRNA from 1 species
CCCUUAGAUGUUCUGGGCCGCACGCGCGCUACACUGAUGCGUUCAACGAGUUUCUUCCUGGUCCGAGAGGAAUGGGUAACCUUUUGAAAGUGCAUCUUGAUAGGGAUAGACUAUUGCAAUUAUUGGUCUUCAACGAGGAAUUCCUAGUAGACGUAGUUCAUCAGACUGCAUCGAUUACGUCCCUGCCCUUUGUACACACCGCCCGUCGCUCCUACCGAUUGAAUGCUCAGGUGAGCCAUUCGGACUUUCAUCAUGCUGGUUUCCAGUUUUGAUGAAGGAAAGUCUUGCGAACCUUAUCAUUUAGAGGAAGGAGAAGUCGUAACA